rnacentral:hammerhead_ribozyme from 1 species
AUCCAGCUGAUGAGUCCCAAACAAGACGAAACGCUCGUCCUGUAU